rnacentral:rRNA from 1 species
AUACGGAGGAUCCGAGCGUUAUCCGGAUUUAUUGGGGUUAAAGGGUGCGCAGGCGGCCAUUUAAGUCAGCGGUUAAAUCGUGGGGCUCAACCCCAUUCUGCCGUUGAUACUGGGUGGCUUGAUUGCGGUCGAGGUUGGCGGAAUUCGUUGUGUAGCGGUGCAAUGCAUAGAUAUGACGAAGAACUCCGAUUGCGUAGGCAGCUGACCAGACCGCAAAUGACGCUCAUGCACGAAAGUGCGGGGAUCGAACAGGAUUAGAUACCCUGGUAGUCCGCACAGUAAACGAUGAAUACUUGUUUUCGGCGAUAUAAUGUCGGAGGCAAAGCGAAAGCGAUAAGUAUUCCACCUGGGGAGUACGCCGGCAACGGUGAAACUCAAAUGAAUUGGCGGGG